GAUGAACGCUGGCGGCGUGCCUAAUACAUGCAAGUCGAGCGAAAAGACGAGGAGCUUGCUCCUCUGACUUUAGCGGCGGACGGGUGAGUAAAAUGUGGGUAACACACCUAUAAGACUGGGAUAAAUUCGGGAAACCGGAGCUAAUACCGGCUUAUCUAUUCAACAGCAUGGUUCAAUACUUAAAGACGGUUUUGCUGUCACUGUUAGCUGGAUCCGCGCCGCAUUAGCUAGUUGGUAAGGUAACGGAUUACCAAGGCAACGAUUCGUAGCCGACCUGAGAGGGUGAACGGCCACACUGGAACUGGGACACGGUCCAGACUCCUACGGGAGGCAACAGUAGGGAAUCUUCCGCAAUGGGCGGAAGCCUGACGGAGCAACGCCGCGUGGUAUAUGAAGGUCUUCGGAGCUUAAAACUCUGUUAUUAGGGAAGAACAAAUGUGUAAGUAACUAUGCACGUCUUGACGGUACCUAAUCAGAGAGCCACGGCUAACUACGUG
rnacentral:rRNA from 1 species